CGUCCUAUUGUCUGGCCGAGGCGGCUUUCCUUGUACCCGUGGUGCCCUUAGAUAUCCUUCGAAUAUGAAAUCACCAGCCAGAGACGAUUCUUCAUCUUUGGCGGAGGAUGCCAUUCAGUUUGAAAUUGUUUGAGGGGUGUUUGGAAUUUUUUUGGAGGUUAUGGUCGUGUUUUUUUUUCUGUUUAAUUGAAGCGUGAUGUGCAGGUAAUUGAGUAAUUUAUUUGUUUUGAUUUUUGGAUCGUGUGAAAACGCUGGAAAAUAUUAUUUUUCAUUUUUUGAUUAAUAAAGGAUCCAUUUCAAAAUAAAAAAUCAACAUGAAAGGUAAAAAAAAAUAUUUAGCAAUCGUAAAAAAAUGGAAAAAGACUUUUUUUUUUUUAAAUUACAGAUGAUAAUUUAAUGAAUAAAUAUGUUUUUGCAGGAUUGCAGAGCACGAUAUAUUUUACCCCAAAAAUAUUCCUCCGAUUCAUCUUCUUAUUCCUCUGCUGGAGGACGAAAAUAAUUGGCAGACGUUUUCACUUCACCCCGGAGGGGGCAAUCGAUGUAGCCGCGUACGUGGGGUUCAUACACCAGAUUACUUCGUGAUUAUACAAAGUUACGCCUACAGUAUUUAGGACAGAAGGGACUCUGUGAACCUCCGGGGUAAUACGGAGAGCUUAAUUGCUCGUUUAAUUACUGGUUUAGCAGGAAAAUUGAGUUACCGGGGAUUUUAGCCCCGGGCAGAAGAUGAUCAUCAGGAAUUCGUAUCAAAACCAUAGCUCCGAAGAUGAUGUGAAUUCUGUUGCAGAGGGGAUGGGUCGAUGAAAUCGUCAAAAUGUGGAAAAGGCGAAAAAAGGGUGCGUCGGUAAUCGUUAGGUGGGAAGAGCUGAAAAAUUUGUAAAAUAACUUUUAAAAAAAUUUAAAAAUAUGUUCACUUUGAAGAAGGGGAAUGAAAGCACUGGGGGACGAAUUGGGGAGAAUAAAUAGUUUUUGCCGGUGUUUGGAAAUGCGAGGUGGACACUUCGCUAGCUGACUGCAAUCAAAAUGGCGAUACUGACAUAUUUACACUCGGCUUGUCCAACAUUUCGAUUUUUUGACACGUGAAGAAAGGGAUGAUAAAGGGUGAAAAAAUGGCUUUAAAUAUUUGUUCAGUCAAGAGAAUGGAGAUGGGAUAAAUUGAAGAGGAAUUGGGGAGGAGAAACAACUAUGGAGGAUGCUUGAAAAUGCGAGCUGGGAGCGCUGCCAUCUUUGCAACUGCGCGGCAGAGGAAGCCCCCCCCCCCGCUGCUCAAGAUGGCGGUUGCACGAAUGCAUCUUCGAAACUGCUAAGAAUUCUUUGUUUUCGGAAAUAAAGAGAAUAUAUUUUUGGAACAAUCUAGAGAAUAUAGAAGAUUUUUUACACGAUUCAGUCAUGUAAAUUUUUGUUAGCGAAAAAGUCAAUGACUUGAAUUCUUUAAUACUUUGGCAUCUGAAAAUGACAGUGACAAGCGUCGUAAGACAAAAUAUAGAUGUAAAUUUCAAAUAAUAAAUUUCUGUUUCUUACAAUAAAGAAUUUUUCGUAAGCCAAUAAAAAAAAUUAAUAGAUCAAAAUUGAGGGCUGGGCAUAAAAAAUAACGAAGAACGUUUAGAUCAUUUUUUCAUGUUUUUAUUGUAAAGAUUAGACUUAGACAGGAAUGGGGGCUGCCUGUGUAGCGUCCUUGGCGGGCUUGACAUCCGAGGAUGGCUGCUGAGGAAUGACUUCCUCUUUAGGCUCAGCAACGUUGACGUUGUCUGGAAGGGGCUUCUUGGGUCCCAUCUUGCCACUUGGAUCCCACGGCAGCAUAAUCUUGACCUUGAUCCCCAGAACACCCUGUCUGAGGAGAACGUGAC